UACGGGGGGAGCAAGCGUUGUUCGGAUUUACUGGGCGUAAAGGGCGCGUAGGCGGUCAGCGCAAGUCAGUUGUGAAAUCUCUGGGCUUAACCCAGAACGGUCAACUGAUACUGCGCGACUAGAGUGCAGAAGGGGCAACUGGAAUUCUCGGUGUAGCGGUGAAAUGCGUAGAUAUCGAGAGGAACACCUGCGGCGAAGGCGGGUUGCUGGGCUGACACUGACGCUGAGGCGCGAAAGCUAGGGGAGCGAACGGG
rnacentral:rRNA from 1 species